rnacentral:rRNA from 1 species
GAAACAUCUAAGUACCCGGAGGAAGAGAAAACAAUAGUGAUUCCGAUAGUAGCGGCGAGCGAAAUCGGAUUAGCCCAAACCGUACAGUUUACGGACUGUGCGGGGUUGUAGGACCACGAUAUUUGGUGCUUUAUGAAUAAGAACACGUUGGAAAGCGUGGCCAUAGACGGUGAUAGCCCGGUAUUAGUAAAGACAGUUACCGAUAGUGGUAUCCUGAGUAGUGCGGGGCACGUGAAACCCUGUAUGAAUCCGGCGGGACCAUCCGCCAAGGCUAAAUACUCCUGAGAGACCGAUAGUGAACCAGUACCGU